AGCAGUGUGACCUAGUGGCUAGGGCAUGGGCCUAAGAGUCAAAAGGACCUGGGUUCUAGUCCCAGCUCUGCCA
rnacentral:tRNA from 1 species